UACAGGGGGUGCAAACGUUGCUCGGAAUUAUUGGGCGUAAAGCGCGCGUAGGCGGCCACUUAAGUCGGAUGUGAAAGCCCCUGGCUCAACUGGGGAAGUGCACCCGAAACUGAAUGGCUUGAAUGCAAAAGAGGGUCGCGGAAUUCCCGGUGUAGAGGUGAAAUUCGUAGAUAUCGGGAGGAACACCGGUGGCGAAGGCGGCCUUCUGGACAGUGACUGACGCUGAGACGCGAAAGCGUGGGGAGCAAACAGG
rnacentral:rRNA from 1 species